rnacentral:rRNA from 1 species
UACGGGGGGGGCAAGCGUUGUUCGGAAUUACUGGGCGUAAAGGGCUCGUAGGCGGCCAACUAAGUCAGACGUGAAAUCCCUCAGCUUAACUGGGGAACUGCGUCUGAUACUGGAUGGCUUGGAUUUGGGAGAGGGAUGCGGAAUUCCAGGUGUAGCGGUGAAAUGCGUAGAUAUCUGGAGGAACACCGGUGGCGAAGGCGGCAUCCUGGACCGACAUUGACGCUGAGGAGCGAAAGCCAGGGGAGCAAACGGG